rnacentral:rRNA from 1 species
CCUACGGGAGGCUGCAGUGGGGGAUAUUGCACAAUGGGGGGAACCCUGAUGCAGCGACGCCGCGUGGGUGAAGAAGCGCCUCGGCGCGUAAAGCCCUGUCAGCAGGGAAGAAAAUGACGGUACCUGACGAAGAAGCCCCGGCUAACUACGUGCCAGCAGCCGCGGUAAUACGUAGGGGGCAAGCGUUAUCCGGAUUUACGGGGUGUAAAGGGGGCGCAGACGGCGAUGCAAGCCAGGAGUGAAAGCCCGGGGCCCAACCCCGGGACUGCUGUUGGAACUGCGUGGCUGGAGUGCAGGAGGGGCAGGCGGAAUUCCUGGUGUAGCGGUGAAAUGCGUAGAUAUCAGGAGGAACACCGGUGGCGAAGGCGGCCUGCUGGACUGCAACUGACGUUGAGGCCCGAAAGCGUGGGGAGCAAACAGGAUUAGAUACCCCGGUAGUC